rnacentral:lncRNA from 1 species
ACCAACUUCAACUUAAGAAAUGAUAGCCACAUUAGCCCUGCCACCUUUCAUUUCAUGUCUUGAGCAUGCAUCAUAGUGUUGCAUUUCCGUGAAGUAAUUGUUGUCCUUUCUUGUUUGCCGGUGUUGUUCCCUCUCGGUAGGCGAUGGUUCCGAUGAUGUGAUCGUUGACAUUGAUGAAGACUCAUUGCUAUCUUCAGACUUGUUAGGCAAGCAAACCCCCCUUGAGCAUAUUGAUAUAAACCCACUCUCUCGCUCCUGCUCCCUUUUACUACAUUAGGACACACGAUUCAGCUGUACAUGUUAUCGGUAGUUGAACCCAUUCCUUUGCAUG